CUUGAUAGGUCAGAAGAAUAAAAAUAUAGGAAAAUGGGAAAGAACUUGAAGUUUAUCCAUUCAUUAGAGAAAGAUCAAACAGCAAUCUUUGAUGAGAUAACUUUCUCAAAUUGGUUCAAAUGCUUCAACCUUUAACAUACUAUAUCUUCUAAA